AAAUUUUAAUUUUGAAGUUGGAUUUUCUUUAAUCGUGAUAAUUCAAAUUUUAAAAAACACUACUGAAAAACUUUCAAAUACACAAUCAAAAUUUCAAAUACCCAACUGUCAACACUGAACUGAAGAGCCCAAAAUCCAGCUACCGUUUCUAUACAUGCUAAUCUUAUAGGCAACGAACUUUAAUAUCCCAAGAAUCAGGAAAAUUAGUGGCUGCUCUCUUGUUUCUCUCUCAUCUUUAUGGUCAUCAUUUUUUCUAUUUAUUUACCCAAAAAGAUUCGAAUUCUGCUAUAGUCAAACUCAGAAUUUCAAAUCCCAUUUGCAAAAGGACCCUUUUUGAUUUGAAUCACCAAACUGAAAGAUUUUCUCUGCAUAAACAAUGGCAGAGAGGCUGAGCCACAAAUCAUAGAAGAAGAUCUUCUCUAACUCAACAGAGAAAGAGAAGUCUCAGCUUUUCUGUUUGGCUUAUUCUCUGGGACAAAAAGAAGCUAUAAAAAGCAGAGGGUUAGUGUAAUGCCUACUCAUUAUACUUUGCAGAGAAGAUAGCGAAAGAAAAAGUGGGUACCAUUCAAUUUGGCUUAGAAAUUUGAAGUGAAGAGAGAUAGAGGAAAAAAUACUGAAAUGGGGUUUUAAAAGUGAAGAGCCUUACAGGAUGAUCAGUGGGUAAUGGGGGUAU
rnacentral:misc_RNA from 1 species